UAUAAUUCACUAAUUUUGCUAGUUUUUUUAUUAGAGCAUUACAAUUAAGACAUUAAAUUAUAAAUUCAUGUGGUAUAUUUAGAAAUUAAAUUACAAAAUAACACAAAUACUUUUAAGGUGUGCUGUGCCAACAAAGUUUAAAUUUUUAUAAUUAAUUAGGAUUCAGAUUUCAGAUUAGGUAAACAGUUUGGCUUACUCUGUGAUGUGUAUAAAGGCUGGAAGGGGCAAGGGAGGAGGAAGAUGUCUUUAAAUAAAUUAUGUCACAGAAAAAUUUUCAAAGCAAAAAUUGAUUACAUUUUUAAGUGGAAUAAGUUACUGUUGUAACCUGUUGGCACAACGUACAGAAAAUACUUAAAUGACAGGUUUUGUUUUUUUUUAAAGCAAACAGCAGCUUUACAAACAGUAAUACUUCUUUAUACAUAUAUUAAAGUAACAAUGUGUUAAGGUUUAAGAGUUUUAUGUUAAAGAGUUGAAAAAUGAAUGUAGAGUUCACUACUCAUUUGCACAUUACAAUCCCCACCCCGCCCACCUCCCCCAGCUUAUUAAGAAAUCAGACAAGUACAUUAUUUGGAUAUUAAUUUUUCAAUAUUUAAACUAUGUGAAUUCCUUUUGACUAAUUCUUUUCCAAAUACUGGAAGCAUAUAAAAUACCCUCUCUGCAAAAAUGACCUCCAAUCAAAGCCUUUAAAAACUUUUCAAUGUAUAACACACAUUAUUUUUCCCAUGUUUAGUCAAAAGAAAUAUAUUACAUCAUUUACAAACAUAUUUAAACCAAAAAUUAAGCUAGUAUGAACAUUUGUCUUUUGAGAAGUAAUCUUCACAGCAAACAAACCUACUGAAGCAGAUAUCUAGUUCUGGGAGUGCAAUUCAUAUUAUAAUUCAUUAUACUUAUGUACUGAAAUAGAAAUCUAAUAUUAAUUAUUGCCAUAAAACAACCUCUACACACUAAGAAAAAAAUCACUAUGGUUAUUUCUUGUGAUAAUGAACUUCUACUCUUACCAUUAGAUCUCCGAAGAGCCACCCACUCCCAGAUCCAAACAAAAACCAAACAACGAGAAACCACUUCCCAAUUUUUACACCUCCUGCUGUAUAGAAUAUACAAAUUCCAGAAUUUAUCUAAAGGAAACAAAUUAUAAAGACAUUAUUAAUACUUACUUAAGAUACUUUUCGACACAGUAGCAUUUCCUUUGAUAAAUUCUGGACAGUCCUCUAGAGUGACCUGUCUCAUAUAAAAAAGGCUGUGGUCCCUUGGGUUUGCUGGCAGAAGAGUCUGCACAUGCAAGAGCAUUUAUCUAACACAUAAUCAAACACUUCUGAAGUCUAUAGUGAAUUUAAAAGUUACUGGUGUUCUGAAGAUUUCCUCAACUCCUCUUUUGAUACAAAUGUCAAAAAUGUAAAAUGACAAUUCUCACUCAGAAGAGAUAUAAAAUAUAAGAAACCUUUGAAAAGCCUAUACCUCAAGAUCAAGAGUUAUCUGAAUCACUGACACCAAGCAAAGGAAAUUUACACCAUAAAAAGUAUGAAAAGUUUUUAAGUUCACUUUUAAGAUUGUCAGUAGUUCAAAAUCUCUAUCAUUUCCUUAAACCGACUAACACUCCCGAAUGUGUAGACACAGUAAGGUCUGCCACAUAUACAUCCAUGAUUACUAUUUCAGAGGCUUCAUUCCUUACAUGCUGCAUUCCUUUAAGUACUACAGCAAACACUUUGUGCCUAAGAAGUCUGUACUGGAGAACAGUUUCAACAGGACAAUACUGUCCCCUUUUAGCACGCUAAGAGUUGACAGACUGACAUUUUCUAUACGGCAAUGCUCCUAAACUUUCACAACGCACAAAUAGGUAAAUCAUCAUCCAAAAAUCACCUCUCCAGUAUUAAAAGCCAGCAUUAUAAAACAUCAAAACUAGCACAGUAGUCCCAAUGAGUUCAGUACAAAACCUGCCCAAUUCUUCUCUCCUGCCUCUGUGAGGCAGAGCCCUGCCUCAUGAAACCAGAGCAGGGGAAGUAACCCUCCCUCCUCAGUUCUGUGCCUGCUUGUGGGAGCCUGUGAGUGUAAAGUUGGCGCGCCUGUGUGGGAAACUGCAGGCUCUGGGUAGGGGAAGAAGUUGGAGGGAUGAGAGAAAAAGAGGUAAACUGUAAUUCUCCCAACAUGACAUAAACUUGUAGAGGUCACUACCAGGUGAUUGACCAGCAAAGAAAACUUUUAGCUCAGUAAGUUUCAAUUCUCCCAAGCAGGUAUACACAUUGCUAGAGAAGGGCAGAGAUAAGUGAUAGUGAUCAAGAGGUAAUACCUGCCUAGAUCUGUGUACUCUAAAUCAUCUAAUAAUUUCAGCACAAUUUGAACAACUUUCUCUCUUCUUCAAAACUUCCUUUUCCAGCCUUCUGAUUAUCAGGAUACACAUUAUAUGUAAAAGUUCCUCUCCCUGACCUCCUAUCAGUAACUGUGGUUGGUGUUACAUGGCAGGUGCUCAAGGCUAGGGACAAAAUAUGUAUUAUUUUUAAGAAGGUGUAAUGGUUUUUCACUCAGGACUAGUUUGGAUACCUAAUCAAAUCCAGAGCAUCCCAAAUCAGAAGCAUGCAAAAGAACACACUAGGAUAAGACUUUGUUUCUGAAGAGUUUACACAUUAAGUGGUAAGUGCUACAGUUAUGUAACUGGUUACAGUUAUUCACCUGCCACAAUCUGCCUAACUUUAUGCAGAUACGAAUAUGUACAAGAGCAUUCCUGAGGUAAGUAAGAAGUAAGUAUGAGACAGAACCUGUCGGGUCCUAUCAUGGGUGACUUUUCACUAUUAAAGACAACAUCUAUCAUGUCCCACAAGUAAGGCCAGCUCUAAUGUAUCAUGGUGGCUUCUUUGCUAGCCUAAGAUUUGGAGGCUCUGUUUUAGCUCAUCCCAAUUUUAAUUGAUUACAAUGAUCAAUGGCUUCUGAAAUAAGCAUCUGUGGACCAAAGAAAAGUCACAUCA
rnacentral:lncRNA from 1 species